rnacentral:rRNA from 1 species
UACGGAGGGUGCAAGCGUUAUCCGGAUUCACUGGGUUUAAAGGGUGUGUAGGCGGGCUAUUAAGUCAGUGGUGAAAUCUCCGGGCUCAACCCGGAAACUGCCAUUGAUACUAUUAGUCUUGAAUUCUGUUGAGGUAGGCGGAAUAUAUCAUGUAGCGGUGAAAUGCAUAGAUAUGAUAUAGAACACCGAUUGCGAAGGCAGCUUACUAAGCAGAUAUUGACGCUGAGGCACGAAAGCGUGGGGAGUCAAACAGG